rnacentral:rRNA from 1 species
AAAUCUGGCCCUAGCGGUCCGAGUUGUACUUUGUAGAGGAUGCUUUUGGCGAGGUGCCUUCCGAGUUCCCUGGAACGGGACGCCGGAGAGGGUGAGAGCCCCGUACGGUUGGACGCCGAGCCUCUGUAUAGCUCCUUCGACGAGUCGAGUAGUUUGGGAAUGCUGCUCUAAAUGGGAGGUAAAUUUCUUCUAAAGCUAAAUACCGGCCAGAGACCGAUAGCGCACAAGUAGAGUGAUCGAAAGAUGAAAAGCACUUUGAAAAGAGGGUUAAAUAGCACGUGAAAUUGUUGAAAGGGAAGCGUUUGCGACCAGACUUUUUCCGGGGGGAUCAUCCGGCGUUCUCGCCGGUGCACUUCCCCCGGUCGAGGCCAGCAUCGGUUUCCUUAGGGGGAUAAAGGCCCGGGGAACGUGGCUCCUUCGGGAGUGUUAUAGCCCCGGGCGUAAUACCCCUCGGGGGACCGAGGAACGCGCUCUGCAAGGAUGCUGGCGUAAUGGUCGUCAACGACCCGUCUUGAAACACGGACCAAGGAGUCGAACAUUUGUGCGAGUGUUUGGGUGUCAAACCCUCACGCGUAAUGAAAGUGAACGGAGGUGAGAGCCCUCGCGGGUGCAUCAUCGACCGAUCCUGAUGUCUUCGGAUGGAUUUGAGUAAGAGCAUAACUGUUCGGACCCGAAAGAUGGUGAACUAUGCGUGGAUAGGGUGAAGCCAGAGGAAACUCUGGUGGAGGCUCGCAGCGGUUCUGACGUGCAAAUCGAUCGUCAAAUCUGCGCAUGGGGGCGAAAGACU